CCUACGGGUGACUGCAGUGGGGAAUAUUGCACAAUGGGGGAAACCCUGAUGCAGCGACGCCGCGUGAGUGAAGAAGUAUUUCGGUAUGUAAAGCUCUAUCAGCAGGGACGAGACAAGACGGUACCUUACUAAGAAGCCCCGGCUAACUACGUGCCAGCAGCCGCGGUAAUACGUAGGGGGCAAGCGUUAUCCGGAAUCACUGGGUGUAAAGGGAGCGUAGACGGCUGAGCAAGCAUGAAGUGAAAGGCGGGGGCCCAACCCCCGGACUGCUUUGGGAACUGUACGGCUGGAGUGCAGGAGAGGUAAGUGGAAUGCGUGGUGUAGCGGUGAAAGGCGUAGAUAUUAGGAGGAACACCAGUGGCGAAGGCGGCUUACUGGGCUGUAACUGACGUUGAGGCUCGAAAGCGUGGGGAGCAAACAGGAUUAGAUACCCUGGUAGUC
rnacentral:rRNA from 1 species